UUCCGGUUGAUCCCGCCGGAGGCCAUUGCUAUCGGAGUCCGAUUUAGCCAUGCUAGUCGAGCGAGGUUAGCCCUCGCGGCGAACAGCUCAGUAACACGUGGCCAAGCUACCCUGCAGAGGGGGACAGCGUCGGGAAACUGACGGGAAUCCCCCAUACCGGUCUCACGCUGGAAUGCCGAGACCGACAAACGCUCCGGCGCUGCAGGAUGCGGCUGCGGCCGAUUAGGUAGUCGGUGGGGUAACGGCCCACCGAGCCGAUAAUUGGUACGGGGUGUGAGAGCACGAGCCCGGAGACGGAAUCUGAGACAAGAUUCCGGGCCCUACGGGGCGCAGCAGGCGCGAAACCUUUACACUGCACGAAGGUGCGAUAAGGGGACUCCGAGUGCGAGGGCAUACAGUCCUCGCUAUUGUGUACCGUAGGGUGGUACACGACCAAGAGCUGGGCAAGACCGGUGCCAGCCGCCGCGGUAAUACCGGCAGCUCGAGUGAUGGCCGAUUUUAUUGGGCCUAAAGCGUCCGUAGCUGGCCCUGCAAGUCCGUCGGGAAAUCCACUCGCCUAACGAGUGGGCGUCCGGCGGAAACUACAGGGCUUGGGACCGGAAGACUUGAGGGGUACGUCUGGGGUAGGAGUGAAAUCCUGUAAUCCUGGACGGACCGCCGAUGGCGAAAGCACCUCAAGACGACGGAUCCGACAGUGAGGGACGAAAGCUAGGGUCUCGAACCGGAUUAGAUACCCGGGUAGUCCUAGCCGUAAACGAUGUUCGCUAGAUGUGGCACAGGCUACGUGCCUGUGCUGUGUCGUAGGGAAGCCGAGAAGCGAACCGCCUGGGAAGUACGUCCGCAAGGAUGAAACUUAAAGGAAUUGGCGGGGGAGCACUACAACCGGAGGAGCCUGCGGGUUUAAUUGGAU
rnacentral:rRNA from 1 species